GCCGGAGUGGCGGAACAGGCAGACGCGCACGACUCAAAAUCGUGUUCCGAAAGGAUUGUGGGUUCGAUUCCCACCUUCGGCA
rnacentral:tRNA from 1 species